AAGGUUAUUUGGGGAAAAGACAUUAUGACCUUGUGGACCAUGAUACGGCAGUAACCACAUACACGUCAUACGACAAGCGUUAUGUUUUAUUAAGUUUUUUUAAUAAUAAAUAAAUAAAUGGCACCCUUUUCUUAAUUAUUUUUUUUCUUGGAUAAGUUCAUUUAAUGUACAUGUUGAAUAAAUGUCCCGAACAUAACGUUAACGGCGGAGUUAAAAUAAAAUCAAUAUGAUCAUUGAUCGGGAUUUGGGAUUUUAAGAGACUAAAUCAAUCAUGACGUUCCCGUUAACGGAAGAGUUAAAAUAGUUGCAUUUUUACUAAUUCCUAUGUGUUGUCA